AUGCAGCCGCUAAUAUUUAUGAUCAAGUUAUCAUCAACUCCCUGCAAAAUUCAUUUACUGAUGCCGGAGACCUGUUAUGGCGCGGUGGCUUUAGUCCGCCGGCUUGAACUAUCUCGACUCUCCAUUUGCCUCAUUCGGCAUCCCCAACCUUCUAAUGCAGGGUUAUGGAGCACAGUCUGCUGA